CUGGGAUCUGUGGUCAGAUGGGAGAGGACCGUCGGUGGGGGCCAAAUCUCAGAGAAUUACCCAAGUCUGAGAACAUUGAGUUCCCUCGAGACCAUGGACAAAACAAAGAGACUUGGAAAAUCCUCUUUGGAGGCAAAUGCUGAGCAGAGAUUCCUCCUCCGCUGUGACAUCCUCAACUUCCUGUGAAGUGAGAACCUCCCAGGGUCCUCUGGCAGAGCAAGGUCCUUGUUGAAGGAAAAAUAAAAGCAUUUUAAUGUCCCUUCAGAACAGAAAAACUAUCUGGGCAUCAUGGCAGGCAUCUGUAGUCCCAGGCACACAGGAGGCUGAGGCAAGAGGAUCACUUGAGCCCAAGAGUUUGAGGUUGCUGUGAGCUGUGAUGCCAUGAAUUCUACCCAGGGCAACAGAGUGAGACUUUGUCUCAGAAAAAUAAAUAAAUAAAUAAAUAAAU